CACCACAACGGGUGGAGCUUGCGGUUUAAUUGGAUUCAACGCCGGAAAUCUUACCGGGACCGACAGCAAUAUGAAGGCCAGGCUGAAGACUUUGCCGGAUUAGCUGAGAGGUGGUGCAUGGCCGUCGUCAGUUCGUACUGUGAAGCAUCCUGUUAAGUCAGGCAACGAGCGAGACCCACGCCCACAGUUGCCAGCGUACUCUCUGGAGUGACGGGUACACUGUGGGGACCGCCGCUGCUAAAGCGGAGGAAGGAAUGGGCAACGGUAGGUCAGUAUGCCCCGAAUAUCCCGGGCUACACGCGAGCUACAAUGGUUGGUACAAUGGGUAUCUACCCCGAAAGGGGACGGGAAUCUCCUAAAACCAAUCUUAGUUCGGAUUGAGGGCUGCAACUCGCCCUCAUGAAGCUGGAAUCCGUAGUAAUCGCGUUUCAACAGAACGCGGUGAAUACGUCCCUGCUCCUU
rnacentral:rRNA from 1 species